CUUAGAUGCCGGAAACUCCUCUGCUCCUCCACUUGGACCUUUAGGACCUUUAGCGCUGGCCAUAACUAUCACUUGACAGACUGACUACGCGCACCAUAUACAUACUUUUUUUCCUUCUUUUUCGAAUCUUCGGAUCACGUGCGUUCCGAACCGUGGAGUGGGAUCGGUUCGGAUUAUGGAUCAACCGUGAUCCAUUGCACCACUACCAGGCAGUGAUGCAGCUGCUCAGGAUGCUCUCUAUAGUCCCUCUGUAGAAGGUGGUAAGAAUGGACGAUGGCAGAUGGGCUUUCCUCAGCUUCUGCAGGAAGUAGACACGCUGCUGGGCUUUUCUUGUUAUGGAGCUGGUGUUGGGGGAUCAGGGGAGGUUCUCCACCAGGUAGUGACCAAGGAAUUUGGUGCUCUUGACAACCUCCACAGAGGAUCUAUUGAUGUUAAGUGGGCAGUGAUCUCUCCGUGCUCUCCUGAAGUCAACAAUCAUCUCUUUUGUUUUGUCCACAUUCAGAGACAGGUUGUCAGCUCUACAUCAGUCUGGUAGCUGUUGCACCCCCUCUAUGUAUGCUGACUCAGCGUUCUAUAGUAGGAUUUUGAAAUUCAUACCAUAGGUGAGUUAAAUACGUCUCUGAGAUGAGUUUGAAUCCCUGUGAUCUUGACCUCAAGUACAGAGUCAACUUUUCUGAGAUCACCUGGGAUUUUCACAUUUACCAGAAGUGCAGCUGCUGAGAGGCUGAGGGGUAGCCGCCAAAAUGUUUUAGAAGAUGAAAAAGUUCAUGAGAGACAAAAUUCAGCUCUGUUAAUUUUUUUAUACUCUUAUUUAAAACAUAUACAUGUGUGUGAAAAGGUUCUUCCUCAAAUCAAAUUUUAUCGUUACAGGGAGAAAAUGAUCUGCAGGAUCCUGCUGCUCAUCAUCCUCACCUCAUGUGUCUCUGGAUCAUUUGUAGUCAAUGUGACACAGACCUCCUAUCAGGCAGAGGAGAACCACAACAUCACACUGGAGUGGACGUUCACCACCAAACCUGACAGAUCCACAAAAACUCUCAACAUCCUCUGUGAACUGAUAACUGAUAAAGUCUCAGUCCUGUAUCAGGUUCAUGAAGGUGUUGAGGUGUCAGAGUCUCAGGAUGCAAAGUUUUCAGGACGAGUCCAGAGUGACAAAGACGCCCUCAGAGAAGGACGAAUCAGACUUCAACUGUCCAGACUCAGGACUGAUGACUCGGGUCUAUACCAGUGUGAGGUCAACACUGAUUAUGGUUACAGCUCUGACGACUGUCAACUCAAUGUCACUGCAGCUGCAGAUGAACUCAAAUCUAAGAGACCAACUUUAAAAUCACAAAAAAACAAUAUCUUAAUUGGAGUGACAGCAGUUGGAGUGGCAGUAGUUUUAAUCAUUGCGUGUACAUCUCUGUAUGUCAUGUUGAAAAAAAUAAUAAUUCACCGUAACCUCUAUGCUGAUGUAGAGAUGUUGAGUGUCUCAGAAAAACAAACUGGGACUGACAGGAUUCUCUGUGCAGGACCAACUUUGGAUCAGAGCGAAUCAUCAGUCACACAAAGAAAAGACUCUGAGCUGCUUUAGGUACAGGAAGUGAUGUGUGGUGUGUAACAUGACUUAUGUUAAAUCGGGCUCGUAUUAUCCUGGGAUUGAAUUCACAGCUGUAAUGAGUAAAGGGGGGACAGUUUUUGCCACCAAAAUCCACCUGUGCUGCACACUGGUAUUACUGGUGUGUGCCCGUGUCUGCGUGUGUGUCCACAUAUGCCUGUGCAGAUGGAGGCGAUACAGUUAAGCUGAAAAAGUAUUCGAUCAACAAAUGACUUAAACAAUGACGUCUAACCCAAGAGCAAGCAAAAGUCACGACAAGAAAUCACAAGGCCUGGAAGUGCAUCGUUGACCAAGAUGGAAACCCUGUGGUACCCACGGCGACGUCUUGGCCUCGUGGACGACCUCGGUCUGCCAGCUAAGGACAAAAGAAGACGAAAGAAAGAAUCAUUAAUGUGUCUGAAGGGAGAGUUUAUUUCUUACCCUUCUGAUUACUGAUGGAUGUUGUAGUACAGAGCGCUGCCUUUUCUAAUCUUUCUGUUAAAAAAAAUGUACAUAUUGUAAAUACAUAUUCAUUUUUAUGGGUUUGAAUUUUUCUGAAUUUUCUGUUUAUAAGUCUAUUUUUAAACUGUGUAUGUUCCCAGGUUCCAAAUACUGUGUCACAAAUAACUAUAAUGAAGGGAACUGACUGAGAAACCAUCAUAAAGUUUUCUUUGAGACUGUAUGAGUAAAAGACACUAACACUAAAACACAGAUUUCAGAAAGUAUUAAAACAGAGAAAUGUAAUGUGUGGUGUUGAGUGUCAUACUUUUCCAUGUUGGCCAAAUGGAAAAGUUUUAAAAUACAUGGAAAUGUAUUUUAAAACAAGACAACAAAAUAGUUUUUCAUGUUACUAUGAAUAACUUUGCAUGUAUGUAUAUUUAUGUAUGAGAGAAGAAAAAAAUGGGUAAAAACAUAUUUUGGGAUA
ensembl:lncRNA